GGGGGGGGGGGGGGGGGGGGUGGGGGGGGGGGGGGGGAACGGGAGGGGCCGGCGUUGGGUGGGUGCGCGAGGGGCGAACGGGUGAGUAACACGGGAGUAACCUGCCCUGGACGUGGGGAUAACGUCAGGAAACUGGGGCUAAUGCCGAAUAGGAGCGCCUGCUGCAUGUGGGGGGUUGGCACGUUUCGGCGGUUGGGGAUGGACUCGCGGCUUAUCAGCUUGUUGGUGGGGUAGUGGCUUACCAAGGCUGUGACGGGUAGCCGGCCUGCGAGGGUGACCGGCCACAUUGGGGCUGAGAUACGGCCCAGACUCCUACGGGAGGCAGCAGUGGGGAAUAUUGCACAAUGGGCGGAAGCCUGAUGCAGCAACGCCGCGUGCGGGAUGACGGCCUUCGGGUUGUAAACCGCUUUCGCCUGUGACGAAGCGUGAGUGACGGUGAUGGGUAAAGAAGCACCGGCUAACUACGUG
rnacentral:rRNA from 1 species